rnacentral:rRNA from 1 species
GAUGAACGCUAGCGGCAGGCUUAACACAUGCAAGUCGAGGGGUAUAGUUCUUCGGAAUUAGAGACCGGCGCACGGGUGCGUAACGCGUAUGCAAUCUACCUUUCACAGAGGGAUAGCCCCAGAGAAAUUUGGAUUAAUACCUCAUAGUAUAGCAGUUUCGCAUGAAACCACUAUUAAAGUCACAACGGUGAAAGAUGAGCAUGCGUCCCAUUAGCUAGUUGGUAAGGUAACGGCUUACCAAGGCAACGAUGGGUAGGGGUCCUGAGAGGGAGAUCCCCC